rnacentral:rRNA from 1 species
GGUAGCUGCGGGCAUGGAGCGGCGGUAAUACGUAGGGGACGCGCGGUGUCCGGAGGUAUUGGGCGUAAAGGGCGCUCGGGCGGGCGUGCGCGUGUCUGGUGAAGGCGCUCGGCUUAUGCGGGAGAGGUCCAGGCAAACGGGCAGGCUUGAGCGUGGGAGAGGGGCAUGGAACUCCGGGUGGAGCGGGGAAAUGCGUAGAGAUCCGGAAGAACACCAAUGGCGAAGGCAGUGCCCUGGCCGACCGCUGACGCUCAGGCGCGAAAGCGUGGGGAGCAAACAGGAUUAGAUACCCUUGUAGUC